GAUGAACGCUGGCGGCGUGCCUAAUACGUGCAAGUCGAACGCACAGACUAUAAGCUUGCUCCUCUGACGUUAGCGUCUGACGGGCGAGUGACACAUUGAUAACCAACCAAUAUGACUGGGAUAACUUCGUAAAUCCGGAGCUACUAACGGAUUACAUGAUAAACCUCAUGAUUCAACGGUGAUUGACAGUCUUGCUGUAUCUUAUAGCUGGAUCCGGGACGAAUUAGCUAGUUGGUAAGGUAACGGCUUACCAAGGCAACGAUGCGUAGCCGACCUGAGAGGGUGAUCGGCCACACUGGAACUGAGACACGGUCCAGACUCCUACGGGAGGCAGCAGUGGGGAAUCUUGGGCAAUGGGCGAAAGCCUGACGGAGCAAUGCCGCGUGAGUGAAGAAGGUCUUCGGAUCGUAAAACCCUGUUAUUGGGAAAGAACAGAUGUGGAAGUAAAUAUGCACGUUUUGACGGUACCUAAACAGAAAGCCACGGCUAACUACGUG
rnacentral:rRNA from 1 species